AACGAACGCUGGCGGCAUGCCUAACACAUGCAAGUCGAACGAGACCUUCGGGUCUAGUGGCGCACGGGUGCGUAACACGUGGGAAUCUGCCCUUUGCUUCGGAAUAACAGUUAGAAAUGACUGCUAAUACCGGAUGAUGUCGAAAGACCAAAGAUUUAUCGGCUAAGGAUGAGCCCGCGUAGGAUUAGGUAGUUGGUGGGGUAAAGGCCUACCAAGCCGACGAUCCUUAGCUGGUCUGAGAGGAUGAUCAGCCACACUGGGACUGAGACACGGCCCAGACUCCUACGGGAGGCAGCAGUGGGGAAUAUUGGACAAUGGGCGAAAGCCUGAUCCAGCAAUGCCGCGUGAGUGAUGAAGGCCUUAGGGUUGUAAAGCUCUUUUACCAGGGAUGAUAAUGACAGUACCUGGAGAAUAAGCUCCGGCUAACUCCGUG
rnacentral:rRNA from 1 species